rnacentral:lncRNA from 1 species
CUUGGUAACCUACAAAUUCGCAACCAACGAAAGCAGACAUAUCUCCUUGGUUUCUCAAAGCAACGGCUUGAUGACCAUCAGGACCGAUUGUGUUCCGAAAUGUCAUUGCCUUUGCAAUGAACCCACGUGCAGUGUUGACUGCACACACGAAUGGAUAAUCAAUUAGAAAUGUCAUCCAUAAUGUAUAUAAAAUAAAAUAAAGUUACGACGAGAAUUGAAUUACGUACCAAAGGUGCCGGUGUACAUGGUCUUGAUAUUAGCUAUGCCAUAGUUCCUACUACCGGUGAUAAUGGUCAUUUGAGGGCCAUCACCAUACAUAGUCAAAUUAACGCAAUGUUUGGUGACAUUGACCUGCUCGUCAUAGACACCAGCCUUAACGUAGAUAAUAUAUCUUCCUUUGUUUCCCUUAGGGUAAGAAUUAAUAGCAUCCAUAAUUGUUUUAAAUUGGCCAGUACCAUCCUUGGCAACAACAACAUUAGGCUUAAUUUUUGAUCUCCAUCCUUUUCGUUGCAUUUGAGCCAAAAGCUUGCGGUCAGUAGCGGAGAUCCAUGUAGGGAAUCCUUGCUCAUUAUCAAUUUCCUUAGAUAGAAGACGACGAGAGUCAGGUUUGAGAUCCAAUUUCAAACCGAAUUCUUGGAGUAUGUUGGACAAAUCAGACACAAUGUCAAGAGCAACAACAGUGACCUUUGUCGCGCUGUCUAUAGUCUGAGCAUGUAAUUGAUCCUUAAUUUUCUUCUCACCCUCUUUUUCAUUGUCAAACCCUUCCAUGCAAGCUUGUUUGUAAGAGAUAACUGCACUCAACCAAUUCCUGAGAUCAGCAUUUUGAGCAUGAACAGAUUGAAUGUUUUUGUCACGAACCACGGUGGUGGAGAGAUCAAGACUGUCCAAAGCAAACUCCAUCAUCUCUUUGCAGCCAUCAAGAGCCAUCUUGAUGCCGCUAUCCUUGUCGCCGUACUCAACACUGAGUCUAUCACUCAUGUUAAAUGCCUUAAUGACAUUGUCAGUGGCUGCUUUCAAAGCAGCCGCUAGGUAUGCCUUAGGAUUUGCAGCAUCGGCGCCACAGACAGAGCUAAGAGUUUCAUAGCAGUAUUUUUGGUCUUCUGCAUUUUGGCAAAUAACUCCAAGAUAUCUUUGUUGAGUUUGAAUCUCAGGAUCUUCACCUUUUCUGUGAACAACAACAACAACACCGAUGGCAACACCUACAAUAAGUAUAAGAGAAACAAUAGAUAUAAUUAUCUUUCCUGACAUUUUUUAAUAUUUUGCUCGGAAAUUUUAUUAGAAUAAGACCCCUUCCCCUUGGGUGUUGGGGUGGGGAGGCUUAUUGGAGAUCUUACUGAGAUAUUGAAACAUGUUUAGUUUUUAUAGGUAACACAAAAAAAAUUCAGCCAACCAAAGAGAAAAUCUAUAUUUAGCAAUUUCAUAAAUGAUAGGCACAUAAUUAUCGUUAUGAAUGAGUUGAAAGUUGAAACAAUCUACUGCUAUUUUUUAGUACAGUAGAGCAUUUAUAUUUUAUAUAUGAUUAGCCAUCAUGCGAUAGAUCAUUCAAAAGAGAGAUGUAGAGAAAAUGGAAUGAAAUGCUCCAAUUUGAUCACAAUGAGUUUAUUAGAAUCACAAUUGCAUCGUAAUAUUUUAGAACAUAUACUUUUCAACUUUUGUAAAAUAUUUUAGAAUCUAACAAUUUUUUUUAUGAUAGUACAUAGGGCCGAUCUUUAGACUUUGAGUGCUCUAAACGAACUAAUAAGAUGGUUUUUUUUUUAACUUAAUAAUUUUAUGACAUUUUAUUCAUAGCAAUCGAUCGAAUAUAAUUUGAAAUAUUCAUAUAGCUCCUUCCUGCAACUCUACAACUUCCCAUGAGUUCUUUCCCAAAUAUGGAAAUGAACACUACAACAUCUCCUGAACCCAUAAUCUGUGAGCAUUAGAAAGUAGCCUCAAAUGCAUGGCAUGCAAAUCGGAUACUUUUUUUUUUCUUUAACGAUAAAUUUAUUAUUCAAAUGGAAGAAAGUACAACGAGCACUUUAGCCAAUUACAUAUCUUAUACCAAAUCUUCAUCGCAAACUUACAUGUAAUACAAAUCGGAUUCACAUGCAUCAAACAGCCUCCUGACUGUACAGCAUCAAAUGGUUACAUCUUCAGGUUUGUUCUGUAGACUAAGACAAGCCUGUUUAGUUUAUUUGGUUGUCAUUUUAAAUUAUGUGUUCUGAACAUAAAACUUUUUUGGUUAUUGAUCUGAGUUAUUGAUUUUUUAAAAUUUAUUUUGACUAAAAUUGAAGUAUAGGUAAAAUGAUUUAUGUUUGAAUACAAUAAUUAUAAAAGUGGGUUGAACAAUAAUUUUAAAUGUAAAAAUCAAUUUUUGAAGUAGAGAGACUACAAUUUCUAUUUUCAAAGAGAAAUAAAACAUGUCAAAAUCAAUUAUACAUCUCUAGAAUCAAUUUUGGCAUCACCAAAAGGAGAACCAUUCAUAUAUUGUACUAAUUAAGCUUGAAAGAUAGUUUUUAUUUUUUGUUUUAGUUAAGGACUGUUAUUAAGAAUGAUAAUUCACAAAAUCAAGUAUUAACAAGAGUGAAAUGUAUAAGGCUUGUCUUACCAAAUACUUUAUUUUCUUUAGUAUUAACCCUCUGAUUUCUCGGAGAAGGGGUCCGUCUAUACAAAGUUUAGCGCCGAGGUAAGUAAAAUCUUACUAAGAAUUAUUCCUAUUAGAAUCAAACUCAGAUUUUCCCGAACGAUUUGGCCUAGAGGAAACCCAUUAACCACUUGUGUCCAAUUUUUUUGUUUGACUUGCCAAAUAGUUGAUCAUAAAUGUUUUUGUAUAACAAGUAACAAGAAACUAUAGAGUAAAGACCAAAUUUGCUACAGGUUUGUGGAAAUCAGCACACACAAAGAAGUUCUUUAGUUAAAAAUAAUCAUUUGUUUACAUGAAGAUUAUUAGAUGUGCCCAGGAAAGGAAAACAAAGGGAACACUGGCACUUCAGUGUGCCCAGGAAGAGCGAGAAUAAAAUGGAUUGCCCUUCCUUCAAAGAAUCGGGAUGAGUUCACUUUGCAAUCAGUGAUCAUGUAACUUUUAUUGAUUCAAAUUAUUCAUUUUCACUUACAUUUAAAUAUAAUAUAUUGUAGGAGUAUACUAAGUAUUAAUAACCAUCAAUUGGAAUUGAAGUAUAUAUGAAGUUCCACGCAUGAUUCCUGCUCGGAAGUCAUCAAGGAAGAAAUGGAUUGUGUGAAGGACAGUCCUCCUUUUGCCUUUUGUAAGCCCUGCGUGAAAGUAGCAUAAAGGGUUUCGAUGUUAAUGAAUAAGUGCGAGGUUCAUUUGUAGUAGUAAUAUAUAUACAAAAUACAAAAAAAAUGUGAAACAUAAGCCACGGAAUUUGUAGUCAAGCAAGCACCUUGAAGCAUUGAAGCCACCAAGCGCAACUGUUCCCAGAAUAAUUAAAAGGAAUGGAACUUUAAUCAUGGCAUGAUUUUUUCUUCCUCCAUUGGCUCUUGGAACACCGGUUCUCACAACUCGCCAAUAUUCAGCUGAAAAACAAUCAUGCCACAUUUAAAUAAGGUAAAGAGAAGGAGGAAAAUUGCUUUUAAAUGAUGCACAGAACUGAGGAUUCGGAAUAGGAAUUAACCUGAAUUUGAAGCUUCUCCUUUUCCACCUGUGUUUUGAAUUUUAUUCAGUACUUUGAAAGAAGUUGCAAGACAGAUAUAAAAAAAAGCAGUAGGGAAGAUAAGGGCCUUUUACAAAUAAUAUAAUUUCCCAAUGAGUUCACAUCAAGAAGCUAAGGACCUGUUUUGGUUUCAAUUUUCUCUUCUCAUUUCUAAUUUUCACUUUCAAUUAUAAAAAACAUUGUUUUCACCUUGUUUUGGUUUUCAAAGUAUUUUAUACAUAAUUAUUUGAAAACAGAAAAUAAAAAGCAAAAACAAUGUGAUAUUAUGCAAUUAAAAGUGAAAAGAAAAAAUGAAAAAAAAGAAUGUAAACAGACCCAACAGACCCUUAUCUAUGCUCUAGGUAACUUAAUCACAUGUUGCCACUACCGAAGAUGGAAUUGUGAGACAAAAGAAACAAAAAAAUUGUAACUGCUAGAGUACUAGAACAACAACCUAAUGUUUCAUUCAAAUUAGGGGCUGGGUAGGAAGCCAAAAUAAUGAAAUAUAUAGGUAAAAUAUAAUCAUAUUUACAUAAUCUUUCGCUACAUGAUGCAUAUUUAUCAUAGACAUUCAAGCAUGAAAUUGCCUAUAGAUGCUGAUAGCUCCCAGAAUAUAUCAAGAACAUAGUGGAGCUUUUCGAAAGUUAUUUUUUCCAAUAAUCCAAUCUUCUAGUAGUCAAAGUACUCAUUUCGAGAUGGCCAUACGCUAUUCAUGAUUCAUGCUAAUGCUAUAAGUAUAAAUUGUGAAUUGAACUAAAAUAUCAAAGAUAUUAUUUUAAGGAUUGGUGAGCUGAGGAGUUUAAACACUUUUGUAAUUCAAUAACCAGUACUGAAUUUGGGGAAAUAAUAUAAUAAGGUAUAUAAAAUUAUUCAUCAACAUUCAGUUUCUCCUAUAAUUCCAACUGUAUGUUCAGGGGUUUGCAUACCAUGAACGACGUUUGGAAUAUUUAUUCUGAGUACAAGGACUCUGGAGAAUUACCGGGCAAUAGACAUGUGUAAGCUUCGGAAAUCUGCAGCAAAACAUAAGUUCAGUCACUUAUCACGUCUUCCAGUUAACAAAGGGGAAUUACUGCCUUCAAAGUGUUCUAUGAAGAAAAAAACUCCCAACUAAAAUCAAUAUUACGGAAAUUAUUACAUUGACACACGAAUCUCUAAAACAGAUAAACAGCCACUAUAUUCAUUCAAGACACAAUUAACCUGUGAGGAUGUUAUGACGAACUUUUUAUGUUCUGAGUCACAUACUCAUAUCAGUUUCCUCUUUACAAUCACAACACACCUUAAGCCACAAGAUUAAAACACUAGAACAAUACUAGGCUUAUACCAAAUGUUGUAAUUUUGAAGAAACUAAAUUAGCCCACCCAAAUUGGCACCAGAGAUAAUCAAACCUGAGACCUUAAGGAGGAGCACACUCCCACGUCCCAAGCUAAUACCACCAGACCAACCUAAGUGGGUUGGCUUAUAACAAAUGUUGUAAUAUUAUGUCGAACUCCUAGAACAAAUUCCCCUCCUCUAACAAACAAAUAAACCACUAAUAAUUUACAUACAAAAAAAAAAAAAAAAUCUUGUGAAAUCCCCAAGAUCACCAUCACAAUUCAUCACCAAAAUUCUUAUGACGAAAUAGAAAAAAAAAGGAAAAGAAAUUGAUUGAAUUGCUGACUCACUGAUUUAAACUUGGACUCAGCAAGAGGCUUCUGAUGAGAUGGAAAUAGGUCAGGGUGAGAUUCCCAAACCUUCUGUUUGUAAGCUGAUUUAACCUAAACACAAACAUCAUCAAGUUAAUAAUUAAGAAAUGAUUGAAAAUUAGGGAAACAAAGCACGAAGAUGAUAAUUGGAAAAUUAUGAUAGUGAAUUAAAGAGGGUCGGGAUCAAAAAGUGAAAUUGAGUUGAUAAAGGGAUUGAAUUUAGAUUAUAGAAAUAGAAAUUGAAAGAAUAAUAAAAACCCUAAAAAGAAAGAAGUAACUACCUGGGAAGGAGUUGGACGCGAAUUGGGCGGGAAACCGAGUAGGAUUCUGGCUUCAUUUGCAUCCAUUUUUUAUUGAUUGUUUGUAACACUCACAACAACCUUAAUUAGGAAAAUCGUGUGUUUUUUCUUUUUGUAUUUCUUGCAUGUGGUUUAUAUCUUGUCAUAAGGGGUAAAAUAAAGUCUAGACACAAGACUAUUUUUCUUGAAUGGUCAAUUAUUCUUUUGCAAUUGAUUGUUUCUAUAGUUAAAUAUGGAGUUGAUAUAAUAUGAUUGAUCAGUAAAAAAAAUCAAAACAAAAAUGAAAAUUGAAGCUUAUAAUAUAGUUUAGUCUGAGCAAAAUUUGAUUUGUAUUUAUGGUGGAUCUCCUGGAUAAAAACAGGAAAGAUAAUUACAAAAAAAUAUCGAAUUGUCUGUGUGCCAUCAUUCAUAUUCAUGAGUAAGUUACAUGUUUAAUUAAUUUCCAACUUUGAAGUCAAGGGUGUGAGGAACAUCAAGAGCCUUCAACCAGGUGGCUGCAGAAGUGUUUUCAGCCUGGAGCCAAUUAGCAGUGGUGAAGUUUCUAGCCUCGUCCCGGCUAAUCUUACCACGAUAACCCUUCCACUUGAUCCUUCUGGAAGUAUCGGCACUAAGUCCAGUGUUGUCAUACUCUGCUAAGUAACAUGUGUCCAAAUAUAGAUCAGUACCGUCCUUAGCUUUCAUAGCGACCCAUCCAUCUGGAUUAAUAAAGUCACCCAUGAAGGAUUCCAUGAAGACUAUCCUUGCAUUUGUCUUCCAUGGCCUGCCCAAGUAAGUUUGGAUUUGGUGCCUUACAGGGAACAAUUCACGCUCUGCGACGAUCUUGCAGUCCUGGAUCACAAUACCAGUGUUCAACUUCUUGGAAUCUUCUGAUCCGUCUGCGGUAAUUGCGUUGAAUUGACCCUGCAUGGGCUUCCUUACGAUGAUCGUAGAGUGUUGGAUCAAGGUGUUAGACAUUCCAAAGAUGAAAUCGAUGGUACCAGAGAUCUCACAGUUGCGGUAGAAUUGCCUAUUGGAUUGAGCGUACAAGGUGUCUUGGUAACCUACGAUUUUGCAACCAAUGAAAGCAGACAUAUCUCCUAGGUUUCUCAAAGCAACAGCUUGUUCGCCAUCAGGACCAGCUGUGUUCUCAAAUGUCAUGUCCCUUGCAAUAAACCGCAAUGCAUCGUUGCCUGCACCCACGCAUGGAUAAUCAAUUAGUAAUGUCAUUCAUAAUGUAAAUAAAAUAAAGCUAUGACGAGAAUUGAAUUAUGUACCAA